GACGAACGCUGGCGGCGCGCCUAACACAUGCAAGUCGAACGGAGCUGAGAGAAGCUUGCUUUUCUUAGCUUAGUGGCGAACGGGUGAGUAACGCGUGAGUAACCUGCCCUGGAGUGGGAGACAACAGUUGGAAACGACUGCUAAUACCGCAUAAGCCCACGAUCCGGCAUCGGAUUGAGGGAAAAGGAUUUAUUCGCUUCAGGAUGGACUCGCGUCCAAUUAGCUAGUUGGUGAGGUAACGGCCCACCAAGGCGACGAUUGGUAGCCGGACUGAGAGGUUGAACGGCCACAUUGGGACUGAGACACGGCCCAGACUCCUACGGGAAGCAGCAGUGGGGGAUAUUGCACAAUGGGGGAAACCCUGAUGCAGCGACGCCGCGUGGAGGAAGAAGGUUUUCGGAUUGUAAACUCCUGUCGUUAGGGACGAUAAUGACGGUACCUAACAAGAAAGCACCGGCUAACUACGUG
rnacentral:rRNA from 1 species